rnacentral:rRNA from 1 species
AUUCUUGGUCAUUUAGAGGAAGUAAAAGUCGUAACAAGGUUUCCGUAGGUGAACCUGCGGAAGGAUCAUUACUGAACUGUCGACACGAGUUGUUGCUGGUCCUCGAAAGGGGGCACGUGCACACUCUGUUUACACAUCCACUCACACCUGUGCACCCUUGUAGUUCUAUGGCCUGGGGACUCUGUCCUCUUGCUGUGGUCCUACGCCUUUACACACACACCGUAACAAAGUAUCAUGGAAUGUAUGCCGCGUCUAACGCAAUACAAUACAACUUUCAGCAACGGAUCUCUUGGCUCUCGCAUCGAUGAAGAACGCAGCGAAAUGCGAUAAGUAAUGUGAAUUGCAGAAUUCAGUGAAUCAUCGAAUCUUUGAACGCACCUUGCGCCCUUUGGCUAUUCCGAAGGGCAUGCCUGUUUGAGUAUCAUGAACACCUCAACUCUCAUGGUCUGCCAUGAUGAGCUUGGACUUUGGGGGUCUUGCCGGCGUAACCGUCGGCUCCUCUCAAACGAAUCAGCUUGCCAGUGUUUGGUGGCGUCACAGGUGUGAUAACUAUCUACGCUUGUGGUCUCCCAUCAGGUUACCUUCAGUAAUGGGGGUUCGCUGGAGCUCACAGACGUCUCUCCUCAGCGAGGACAGCUUUUUAAUGUUUGAUCUCAAAUCAGGUAGGACUACCCGCUGAACUUAAGCAUAUCAAUAAGCGGAGGAAAAGAAACUAACAAGGAUUCCCCUAGUAACUGCGAGUGAAGCGGGAAGAGCUCAAAUUUAAAAUCUGGCGUGCCUCUGGUCGUCCGAGUUGUAGUCUGGAGAAGUGUUUUCCGUGUUGGACCGUGUAUAAGUCUCUUGGAACAGGGCGUCAUAGAGGGUGAGAAUCCCGUCUUUGACACGGACUACCAAUGCUUUGUGAUGCGCUCUCAAAGAGUCGAGUUGUUUGGGAAUGCAGCUCAAAAUGGGUGGUAAAUUCCAUCUAAAGCUAAAUAUAGGCGAGAGACCGAUAGCGAACAAGUACCGUGAGGGAAAGAUGAAAAGAAUCGUCGACCUGCAGGC